CAGAAAUUCUGGUCAGGAGGCUGUAUAUGUCCUCCCCUUCCUCCUUAGACUGGCUUAACCUGUUCUUCCCCACUGGUCAAAGAAUACAGCUGAAUAGAUUUCAUUAGGAGCCUCUUUUGUUAUUUUAAUUGCUCAAUCAGAGCUGAAACCAAUUGUGACCUUCUACAUGAGAAACAUUUGUUUCUUCUCUUGGUUCACCACCAUCCCUUGUCCCAGGACAGCUCUGGAAAGUGUUUGAUGGCAGCAGAAAAGCGUCGUCAUUCUGCAAUUUGAGUAAUGCUGCAGCUCCAGUUUGGGAGGGAUUAAAGUACAGAGGGAAAUGCAACAGAAGAUCCAACAGCAGAGUUGAGCACACUGACACUCAACAAAAAAUACAAGACGUCAUCCAUGAUGAAGCACCCAAUAUAUCGUGCAUCACCAAGAAUGUAGCUGGAUGACACUGCGAGCCCUGUGCUCGCAUACCUUGUCUCCCCAGGACACUCGGUACAUUAUACAUCUAGUCAGGACAAGAUGUCAGGCAGCACUACACUCAUCCUUUCUGCAAACAUUAACUGCAAGAGGUGUCUUAGGACUUUCCCAGGUCAUCUCUGGUUCAGCCCACACAACUGGCUACACCCUGGACUUGAUCUUUGGCCUAGACGUCAAGAAUAUGUUGGCUCUACCAAUGGCCUGCUGGAUGACCUUGGGCAUAGAAGGCCCCAAAUACAGCAGAACUGCUGGAGUUCCAUUGCAAGCAUGGAGAGCAGCCCCAUGACUGAACCACCUCUGCUCUGCAUUGCAUCUCUUUACCCGUGGAGAGGUGUGAUGGGAGGGUAGGAGAAAGAAGUAACCAAUGGAUUCACAAUAAACAUGGAUCCAGAGACUUAAACUCACAGUUUUGAGAUGCCCUGCUGCUAUAGCCUAUGAAUUAUAUUGUUGGUAGAAAAGUGACUGCACAGCUUCUUUGUGUGAAGGCACCAGGUUGCAAGAGAGUAUUACUUUAUCCUCAAACCCUCUUAGGUUCCAUGUGCAUAGCUGGUUUACAUGGAGUUUGGAUGAGAGAGAGGAAUUGUCUCAUGAUUUGUUCAUAUUGCAAGACAAGAAAUGGCAAAGCCUAUUACAGGAAAGGACAGUUAUUUCAUCUGGGCUGUAUGUGCAACACACUUAAUUGGAUCUGUCAUACACAAUUCGUGACAAUUGAAAGGCAACCUUCAUGGGGCCAGUGUAUUAACUUUGCUGAAGUCAGAGGAAUUACACCAGCAGUGAUGAAUAAUGGACCAUUCUGUUUGUUGGGUUUAUUUUGUAAUUAGUAAUAUUAAAUUUAAUAUCCACGUUUGAUUGUGGCUGCUAUGUAUUUAUUGAAUUGUUAACAAAGUUGCUGAACUAGUCUGUUUGGCAUAUGAAAUAAACUCAAGGGAUUAUAAAGAAACUAGAUCUGAAAAGGUGCAAUGAGUUGAGAUAAUAAUGUUAGCUCUAAAGGAUAGUGGGAAGGCUGUAUUCUUUAUCCUGGAG